UGGCUCAGGUCUGAAGCACAGCCUGGCUGAGAGGCAGCUGGCACCGGCCCAGGCACGAUUGCAUGCCUGCCCCUGUGGGCCCCACUUCCAGCAGGUCACCCGGUCUGUGUUGUCACCUUGAAACAUUCUAGAGAGCUGUGAGCUUCAGAAGGAGCCACAGGAAGAUUAAGAAGGAGAAAAGGUGAGGGAAGCAAGCGCCAGAGAAAUUGAUGGAAAGACAGCGCUGCUGCCCUUCUCUUCUCAAAUGGGAUGGAUGUGAGGAGCUGGGGGUGGGGAGAGAGGAAAAUAAAAAGUGAGGCCUGCUGCCUGCCGC